UACGUAGGGUGCAAGCGUUGUCCGGAAUUAUUGGGCGUAAAGAGCUCGUAGGCGGUCUGUCGCGUCGGCUGUGAAAUCCCGAGGCUCAACCUCGGGUCUGCAGUCGAUACGGGCAAACUUGAGUGUUGCAGGGGAGACUGGAAUUCCUGGUGUAGCGGUGAAAUGCGCAGAUAUCAGGAGGAACACCGGUGGCGAAGGCGGCACUCUGGGCCGGUACUGACGCUGAGGAGCGAAAGCGUGGGGAGCAAACAGG
rnacentral:rRNA from 1 species